UGCUGAUUUAAAUUUAAUUCAGUUUCUGAUAUAUAUAUAACUUGUUAGUUAUAACUUUACAGAAUCUAAAAGGGGAUAAUAAUGUCAACCUUUUUCUUGUUUCCUUCUUUUUGAGAUAGGAAGGGAAUGAAAUAAUUUAAUUCACAACUCUAGAAAUUCUGCUAUUUGCAUAUGAUAAAGCGGUGGGUCCAAAAUAACCCUAAGAUUUCUUUUUUCACACCUAAAAUUAUAUUUCACAAUGCUUAAAAGUAUUUUUUGGGUGUUUCUUUACACACAAUAUGGAAGAUUUUAAGCAUUCACUUAACUCGUCAACUAGUAUGUCCACUUGAGAGUUGAGAAGGAUAUUUUUGCACGGUGAAAGUGAAAGGAAAGAAAAGAACGAAAAUGAAAGGGAAGGAGCAUAUUAUAAAUCAUUGUUAAUGAGACAAUGAUGAAUAAAUCAUUUUGUGCGAUUCGCAUGUAAAUACCAAAAACCAAUUAAUGCCCAAAUUGAAAGGAAAUUUUUUUAAAGCUUGGCGCAUAAGACAAAUAAAAAGUUAUCACCAUGCUUUUCAUCAAUUUAGUACAGUGUAAUAGUAAUUCUUUGAAUGAUUUGGACCAAAAAGAUACUUUGACAUAAAAUAUCUAUAGGAGGUGAAACCAACAUUCUUCACAUUUCCUUUUUUAAAAUUCUUAUCUUUAUACAAACGUUGUUUGUAAGAACUUAUACUCCAAUCAGAUAUCACUUGUACCCAUUUAUUUAAAACAUCUGUGGAUAAUAUUUAAAGGACUAAACUGAUCAUAU
rnacentral:lncRNA from 1 species